rnacentral:rRNA from 1 species
UGGGGAAUAUUGCACAAUGGGCGCAAGCCUGAUGCAGCCAUGCCGCGUGUGUGAAGAAGGCCUUCGGGUUGUAAAGCACUUUCAGCGAGGAGGAAGGUGGUGAGCUUAAUACGCUCAUCAAUUGACGAUCAUCUCGCAGAAGAAGCACCGGCUAACUCCGUGCCAGCAGCCGCGGUAAUACGGAGGGUGCAAGCGUUAAUCGGAAUUACUGGGCGUAAAGCGCACGCAGGCGGUUUGUUAAGUCAGAUGUGAAAUCCCCGGGCUCAACCUGGGAACUGCAUUUGAAACUGGCAAGCUAGAGUCUCGUAGAGGGGGGUAGAAUUCCAGGUGUAGCGGUGAAAUGCGUAGAGAUCUGGAGGAAUACCGGUGGCGAAGGCGGCCCCCUGGACGAAGACUGACGCUCAGGUGCGAAAGCGUGGGGCAGCAAACAGGAUUAGAUACCCUGGUAGUCCAGCGCUGUAAAACGAUGUCGAUUUGGAGGUUGUGCCCUUGAGGCGUGGCUUCCGGAGCUAACGCGUUAAAUCGACCGCCUGGGGAGUACGGCCGCAAGGUUAAAACUCAAAGGAAUUGAC